ACUGUUCAAGAUUAGCCAUGCAUGUCUAAGUAUAAAUAACUACACAGUAAAACUGCGAAUGGCUCAUUAAAACAGUUAUAGUUUAUUUGAUACAUUAUAAAUGGAUAACUGUAGAAACACUAGAGCUAAUACAUGCCAAGACCGUAAGGUCGUAUUUAUUAGAUAUUCCAGAUAGGUGAUUCAUAAUAACUUCGCAAAUCUCAGUUAUACUGAGAUAAAUCAUUCAAGUUUCUGCCCUAUCAUGCUCUCGAUGGUAGUGUAUUGGACUACCAUGGCUCUCACGGGUAACGGGGAAUUAGGGUUCGAUUCCGGAGAAGGAGCCUGAGAAACGGCUACUACAUCUAAGGAAGGCAGCAGGCGCGUAAAUUACCCAAUCCUGAAUCAGGGAGGUAGUGACAAGAUAUAACAACACGAUUAAAAGUCGUGAUUGUAGUGAGGGUAUUCCAAACCGAACUUCGAGUACGAUUGGAGGGCAAGUCUGGUGCCAGCAGCCGCGGUAA
rnacentral:rRNA from 1 species